rnacentral:rRNA from 1 species
ACUUUUACUGAGAGCUCUUUCUAGAUUCUACGGGUGGCGGUGCAUGGCCAUUCUUAGUUCGUGAAGUGAUUUAUCUAGUUAAUUUCAUUAACGAACGAGACCUCAUUCUACUAACUAGCUAUACCGAUGUAACCCUUCGUGGCCAGCUUCUUAGAGGGACUACGACCUUUUAGGCCGUGGAAGUUUGAGAAAAUAACAGGUCUAUGAUGCCCUUAGAU